CAAGUUAUUUUAUUUGAAAGAAUUGUUUUAAAUUGUGUUGCAAUUAUAAAAGCUAACAAACGACACAUUUGAACAUUUUAAAAAUGUAUUAAAGAAGUACAUAAUGAAAAUGAUAGAGCAAUCCAAACGUUAAGCUUUUACAUCUUUCAUAUUUUCUGUUUUAUAUCUGUGGUUUAGGGAUGAGUGGAAUUCAACACAGCCUUGUUGAACCUUCAGACCUUGACCAAGUAGCCAACAUUGGUAUCAGAUGGACUGUGCGGUUGUGGUUUUACGCAACGUUGUGAAGCAAUGAUUCUUGUUGUGGAGCGGGGUGAUGUUGGAGACUACUACAAAACCAUAAUGGCUUCAGUUAUCGGACACCCCAGCUUGUAGCUGUAAAGAGUCAGAGUUUUUUGUUCCAUAGUAACCCCAUAACACAAUGCUUGAAAGCUGGAGAUAAUACAUCUUUACAGUCAACUCAUCAAAGCUGUGUUGUUUGUAAAUGUAUGUUUGGUGAUAUUAGAGAGAAACAAUGUAACCAAUUUGACAAUGUGGAAUUAUGACAGUCUGUACAUUUCCAAAAUAUGGGCGAAGUUGAUGAUUUUGGUGCAUUCUAUGCACGCAUUAUGGAAGGUUUGGAUACACUGUUAGAGCUUCAGACUUUGUACAAGGUCCAGCUGACCGCCAAUAAAUAGAACUGUUUGGUGAU